CAAUAGCGUAUAUUAAAGUUGUUGCAGUUAAAAAGCUCGUAGUUGGAUUUCUGGUUGAAGCGACCGGUCGGGCGUUGAUUCGUCUGCACUGGAGUCGGUUUUGGCCAUCCUCUAGGAAAGUGCGUCUGGUAUUAAGUUAUCGGGCGUACGAUCCUGGUCUUUUACUGUGAAAAAAUUAGAGUGUUUAAAGCAGGCCUUCGCCUUGAAUACAUUAGCAUGGAAUAAUAAGAUAGGACUUUGGUCUAUUUUGUUGGUUUGCAGACCGAAGUAAUGAUUAAUAGGGAUAGUUGGGGGUAUUUAUAUUCCGAUGUCAGAGGUGAAAUUCUUAGAUUUUCGGAAGAUAAACUUAUGCGAAAGCAUUUACCAAGGAUGUUUUCAUUAA
rnacentral:rRNA from 1 species